UUAAAUUGAAGAGUUUGAUCAUGGCUCAGAUUGAACGCUGGCGGCAGGCCUAACACAUGCAAGUCGAACGGUAACAGGAAGCAGCUUGCUGCUUCGCUGACGAGUGGCGGACGGGUGAGUAAUGUCUGGGAAACUGCCUGAUGGAGGGGGAUAACUACUGGAAACGGUAGCUAAUACCGCAUAAUGUCGCAGGACCAAAGAGGGGGACCUUCGGGCCUCUUGCCAUCAGAUGUGCCCAGAUGGGAUUAGCUUGUUGGUGAGGUAACGGCUCACCAAGGCGACGAUCCCUAGCUGGUCUGAGAGGAUGACCAGCCACACUGGAACUGAGACACGGUCCAGACUCCUACGGGAGGCAGCAGUGGGGAAUAUUGCACAAUGGGCGCAAGCCUGAUGCAGCCAUGCCGCGUGUAUGAAGAAGGCCUUCGGGUUGUAAAGUACUUUCAGCGGGGAGGAAGGGGAUAAGGCUAAUAACCUUGUUCAUUGACGUUACCCGCAGAAGAAGCACCGGCUAA
rnacentral:rRNA from 1 species